GUUAUGUGUGCAUGUAUUAAGGCGUUUUUCAUUCAAUGUUACAGGAAGCUGUAAGGCGCCUUCACAAUUCGGAAACCAACCCACAUAAAUAUGAUCCACAAACUGGAAUAAGUUCGCCUCGUAACCAAGCAGUCAUGACUUAUCUGCUAGAGGAAUUGAAAACAACUUUUGCAGAUGCAGACCCUGAGUGUAUACAAGCGUGUUGCAAGACAUACUUUGAAACACUUUGGAGAAAGUACAAUU